rnacentral:tmRNA from 1 species
AAGGUUCGAAUCCUUCGAGGGUCGUUAAAGUUUCCGCUUGUCGUUUGGCGGACUACAAGAUGACCGUAAUUCGGUCGAUGGUGAGUGCGUAAAGACGCGGGGGCAGUACCCGCCGCCUCCACCAAGAAUACUCGGCACAGGUGCAGCCAUCCGCCCUAAUAGGUGGCCUUUGAUUUUAGACGGGUCGAGUAUUCUUGAUGGGGGCGAAAUAGGAUCGAUUUGCGCAUAGGCUUGAGAACGCGGUCGGGCAUGAUUCCACCCUUAUCGGGUCAAACCUCCAAGUGCGAACGAUAACUUUGCACAUGAGAUGGCCGUAGCGGCCUGAUCGGAGCCUGCCGGGAGCUUGGCAACAGAAUCCCGGCAAC